GAUGAACGCUGGCGGCGUGCCUAAUACAUGCAAGUCGAGCGAACGGACGAGAAGCUUGCUUCUCUGAUGUUAGCGGCGGACGGGUGAGUAACACGUGGAUAACCUACCUAUAAGACUGGGAUAACUUCGGGAAACCGGAGCUAAUACCGGAUAAUAUUUUGAACCGCAUGGUUCAAAAGUGAAAGACGGUCUUGCUGUCACUUAUAGAUGGAUCCGCGCUGCAUUAGCUAGUUGGUAAGGUAACGGCUUACCAAGGCAACGAUGCAUAGCCGACCUGAGAGGGUGUUCGGCCACACUGGAACUGGGGCACGGUCCAGACUCCUACGGGAGGCAGCAGUAGGGAAUCUUCCGCAAUGGGCGAAAGCCUGACGGAGCAACGCCGCGUGAGUGAUGAAGGUCUUCGGAUCGUAAAACUCUGUUAUUAGGGAAGAACAUAUGUGUAAGUAACUGUGUACAUCUUGACGGUACCUAAUCAGAAAGCCACGGCUAACUACGUG
rnacentral:rRNA from 1 species